GUGGAGCUUGCCCAAGCGGAGCUUCUGCUGACAAAAACAGGGGCACAGAAGUCAGCUUGACAUUCUGCCAAGUGUGGCCCCUCCUGUCUCCUCCUCCAUGCCAAGAAGUAGACUUUAAUCAAUAAGUUUCUGAGAGGGGGCAGUGAGGAAGAGAUUGAAGGAGAAAAAGCACAGAUCUUCUCACCGUGCACAAUUUAGAAAUCAUUUCUAUGCACAAAUUCUUGUGCAGGAGUCAUGGAGAUCAAUGAACACACCCUUUAGCACUUUCUGCUGUCAGUUACAUGGCUCAUUCUCCAUUGACAGACAGAAUAGAGGAAUUCACUGGAAAGGAGAACCACUUCACAGCAACGUUUUACAAGAAGCCUGAUGGUGGGAUGGAGCCCGUCAUUCAUAUUAAUGAGACAUGCAUGGAAGUGGCAAUGAGCAUGUGGAGUGUGGCUAAAAGAAAUGUGGUUCUUCACUUGGAGCUGAUGUGAAACACAGGCAAUCUGUUGGCCUACUGAGAGGAACUUCUUUUAAAAGCCAAGAACAAGAAUACCACCCAAAGACAUCUGUUCCUCUCAUCCUUUAGUGAAGUGCAGAUGGAGAUUCCUACAUGGUUUUGUUGUCAUCAAUACCUUCAAGUGUUUCCUUCAGAAAAUCCUUUGGUGGAGAGUUUAAUACAGUAGGGAGGAAGCUUUUAGGUUUUCUCAUAAGUGUUUACCAAAAGAAGCAAGAAAAGAAUGUUCUCUCUUCUAAUAGCCAUGGCUACACUCACUGGAAUUUCUUGAAUGCAGCUUCACUUACCUGGUUUCCUCCCCAGCUGUGAAUAUGGUUCCCUGGAGACAAGGCUUUGAGAAAGCGAGUGGCCAUUUUGAAGAGGCCCACAUGGCAAAAUACUGGUGUGGCCUUCAGCCAACAGUAAGCUAGGAGCUGAGGCCCUCAGUCCCAUAGCCCUGAAGACAUGGAGUUCUGUCAAUAAACAAAUGAACUUGGAAGCAGAUCCUUCUCCUGUUGAGUCUUCAGAUGAGACCCAGCCCUUACUGACAGCCUGGAUGGCAGCUCUGUGAGAGAUCCUGAAGCAGAGGACCUAGCAAAGCCAGCAAAGUUUCUGACCCAAAGAAACUGUGAGAUGAUUUGUAUUGUCUCCAGCCACUACGUUGUAGUUAUUUGUUACACAGCAAUGGAUAACAAACACAGGAUGUUAAAGAAGUAUUUUUAUGAGACUUUCAAUAGCUAACAUUAGGAUGUAACUGUCAAAAGAAUUAACCUUGUAAUUCAAAUGUUCAUUGUGGGCUCUCACUCACCAUGGAAGCUCAUGCAAAAAUGCUGGAGAAAUUUAAAAUGUCUUAUGUGACAUCUGGUAGAAGUUUAAAAGUAUAGACAACCAUCAUUAAAAAAAAAACUCAUUGUAACUUUGUUUAAAACCUUGGCCCUAGCAUUCAAAGAUUAAAAUCUAAAAUAGGCUUGGAAUUUGGUCACUUCUUAAGGUCUAUGUCAGAUAUCUCUGUCAAAGCCCACAUAUUGUAAGAGUUGCUAAAGCUACAUACAACACUAUGGUGAGCAUUUCAUGCCUAAGUAUGAGAAUUGUAUUUGAUGCAUAUUAAUUGGUAAAAUCUAUUAGCUAGAUACUUAAUAAGAGAGAAGACUGAAGGAAUUGAGAAACCAGUGAACAGAGAUUGCUAAUUAAGAAAAAAAAAUCUGACUCUUUUAUAGGUUUACAUCUUGUAUUACUACCUAAUUGGCUCACUGUUUUGUUUUGUUUUUAUUUGGCAGUUGAAAGAGCCUGUAGACAUUUUAAAUCUCUUCAGAAUUUAUGAUUCAUUUGGUGAAACAGUAGCUGCUAGACUUGUGGAUGUUAAGAACCAGGAAAAAUGAAAAUUCAAAAACAAAAAUAGGUAGGUGAAUGAAUAGGUGAUUGAAUAUACUGCCACAGACAGUAAAGUUUAUUUUGUCAAGCUAGGACAUUAAACUAAAAAAAAAAAAUCACUGUAUGCUAUCAUCAUUAUUUUAUAGAGAAAGAACAAUUCAACCUCAACAGAAAAAUAAUAAUUUCAAAAUUAAAAAACAUAACUUUAAUUUCAAAAAAGCUUUUUUUUUUUUUUGAGAUGGAGUCUCGCUCUUUCACUCAGGCUGGACUGCAGUGGCGCUAUCUCGGCUCACUGCAAGCUCUGCCUCCCGGGUUCGCGCCAUUCUCCUGCCUCAGCCUCGUGAGUAGCUGGGACUACAGGCACCCACCACCAGGCCUGGCUAAUUUUUUGUAUUUUUAGUAGAGACGGGGUUUCACUGUGUUAGCCAGGAUGGUUUCGAUCUCCUGACCUCGUGAUCCGCCCUCCUCGGCCUCCCAAAGUGCUGGGAUUACAGGUGUGAGCCACCAUGACUGGCAAUAAAGCUAUUCUUAAGAAAUA
rnacentral:lncRNA from 1 species